rnacentral:tRNA from 1 species
CGGAGUGUAGCUUAGUCAGGCAAAAGCGUCUGUCUGGGGGACAGAAGACCGUGGGUUCGAGUCCCACCACUCCGACCA